CUGGGGCUGGACCAGGAACAAGGACGCUGCUGUGGCCUUGUUUGAGGUCCCACUGACUCAGGAACAAGACCUCUCAUCUGAGCCUGGGGCUUGUUCUUUCUUUGUUGAAGAGGAAUACAGAGGUGUCAAGGACAGAUGAGAACAAGACUGAGACUUUCUACUUGUUGAAAUCUGCGAGAAAAAAUGGGAAAGGAAUGAAUGAGAGGUUAUCUCUUAAUGUAAGUCAAUGUUUAUUCAAUGCUUUGCCUUGUACAGCCUCAAAUCAUCUUGGGAUCCACGGUGGGAGGCAGCACUGAUGUGAUGUCAUCCAGUGCCUAGAGAUGAGCCUGGCUCUAUUACUGGAGACCGCUGGUGGCUGCAUGGUGCCCUGAGUUAUAACCAAGAUUGCUGAAUAUCUGGGGAGAAAAUUUCUGUCUCUGAUCAGCCUCGGGGGCAUGAGUCAACCUCUGCUAAGUGUUUUGAGCUUGCCUACUGACAAGUUGAUGGCCAAUGCAGAGAAUUAUUAUUCUUAAGAAGAUUGUAAUCACAACUAUGAUGAAUCCAGGUUGAUGAGACAUUAAUGCCUGAAAGCUUUGGAGUAUUUUUGAAAAGCAUCGCUAAAAUAAUAAUUGAAAUCGCAACAAGGGGGAAUCAAGAACAUAAAAGCUGACUGAGAUAACCUCGCAACCCCGCCUGCCUUUUCUAGACACCAGCUUGCUGGGGGGCUUCAUGAGGCUUGUGAAGAAGACAGGACAAAAGAGUCAGGCUGUUGGGAAUUUUAAGGUCCCAAGUGACAUGAUGCCUUCUGAUGUUCCGGGCCUCAGUGGCCUCAUCUGAGAAAUGGGAAUGAUAAUAGCAUAUGUGCAUGGACCAGAUGAGCUCUUCUGGUCCUGUUCCAAUUCUGCCAGCUCUUACUCGAUGAGAUUCUUAACUCCUGGUACCCAGGUGAUUGCAGCAUGCCAGGUGCUCUCGUUCUGGGAGGAGUACCUAACUCAGGGGUAGUAAACGCACUGCCUGGGGGCCAGAUCUGGUCCUUAGAUGUUUUUUAUUUGACUUGUAUAGUUAAAUACUUAUAAACAGCUUUUGAGAUUUAUUACAUAUGGUAAAGUAAUAACACAGACAGAAACAAGUACAAUACUUUAUUAACUGGCUCAGUGAACUGUCACCUAGCAGACACUGGGGUAACCACCAACCAAGCAUGGCUGGCCCCUCAGGAUUCACCCUGGGCCUCCUUCAGUCACUUGACACUGUGCUGUACUUUUUUUAUUUUUUUUGAGACAGAGUCUUGCUCUAUCGCCCAGGCUGGAGUGCUGUGGUGUGAUCAUAGCUCACUGCAGCCUUCACCUCUUGGAUUCAAGAGAUCCUCCCGCCUCAGCCUCCUGAGUAGCUAGAACUAUGGGUGUGCACCACCAUGCCUGGCUGAUUUGUAAAUUUUUUGUGGGGACAGGGUCUUGCCAUGUUGCCCAGGCUGGUCAACUCCUGGACUCAAGCAAUCAUCCCACCUUGGCCUCCUGAAGCACUGGGAUUACGAGUAUGAGCCACUGCACCCAGCCUGUACUUUAAAAUAUUAUUAUUAUUUUUAGUUUGGCCAUGUGCUACCUUGCUGUCUUCUUAAGCUGACACUAAAUUAUGUUGUUGUUUUUUCACACCUAUUCUGCAAUUCUCCGACACCAACUGAGGGUCCAAUAAUUCAAUUCAAUUCCGACAGUAACUACUUGGAAUGCAUGCGGACUGCACAAGUGAAGGGCUCAGUCCCCCAAAACUGCCUGACUUCAGACACUGGUCCCAGGAGAUCACCCAGACUUCUGACCAAUUGGCUACAAAUCGAGAGUUCUCCUGACCCCGCCUCAGGCUCAAUAUUUCACUUGCAUGACUCGCAGAUUUUAGGAAAACACUUCAUUUAUGUUUGCUGGCUUGUUACAAAGGGUACAACUCCGGAACAGCCAGAUGGAAGGUACUGGUGGAGGGGCGCAGAGCUUCUGUGUCCUCUCCCGGCCCCCUACCCUCCCACCCAGCACCUCCAUGUGUUUACCAACUCAGAAACUCUCUGAACCCCAUUGUUAAGGGGUUUUUAUGGAGGUUCCAUUAUUUAGGCAUGAUUGAUUACAAUCUUUGGCCAUGGGUGAUUAAAUUCCAUCUCCAGCCCCUCUCCGCUUCCCAGAGAUGAGUGGUGGUGCUGAAAGUUUCAACCCUCUAAUCAUGGCUUGGUCUUUUUGGUGACUAGCUCUCAUCCUGAAGCUCUUUGGGAGUCCCCUCACUAGCAAGCAAAGUACAGUAAAUUCCGAGAAACUCAGAAACCCUGCUGAGAACUAGAAACCAGACAAAAAGAUUAAAUAUUUAUUUUUUAAUUAUUUCACAGAGUGCCUUUAAGCAAAGGCAUGCACACUCCAAUUUGCCACAGACUCCACCAUGCCCCAUUAUUGCUCACUGCCCUAUUCAUAGAUUUGUGUUGCCUGUUCAGCCUCUGUAGGCAUUUGAAAUUGUGAUGCCUGCUUAAUAGAUAUUAUUUGCCUUAAUAAUAAUUGAAACAGUCAUUGUCAUAAUAAUAGCAAUGAUAAUGUAUUAGUCCAUUCUCACACUGUUAUAAAGAACUACCUGACACCAGGUAAUUUAUAAAGAAAAGAGGUAUAAUUGACUCACAGCUCCACAGGCUGUACAGGAGGCAUGGCUGGGGAGGCCUCAGGAAACUUACAUCAAGGCGGAAGGUUGAAGGGGAAGCAAGCACACCUUCACAUGGCAGCAGGAGAGAGAGAGCAAAGCAGGGAGCGCUGCACAUUUUUAAACAACCAGAUCUCAUGAGAGCUCACAAGAACAGCGAGAACAGCAAGGGGGAAGUCUGCCCCCAUGAUCCAAUCACCUCCCACCAGGUCCUGCAACACGUGGGGAUUACAAUUUGACAUGAGAUUUAGGUGGGGACACAGAGCCAAACCAUGUCAAAUAACAAAGUAGCUAUCAACUGUUGGGUAUUUAUACUAUUCCAGGGGCUGUGCUGAGCAUGUCAGAUAUAGCAUCUUGUUUAAUCUUCACAGAAAUUCUUCUAAGUUGGCCAGGCACGGUGGCUCAUGCCUGUAAUCCCAGCACUUUGGGAGGCCGAGGCAGGUGGAUCACAAGGUCAGGAGAUUGAGACCAUCCUGGCUAACACGGUGAAACCCCGUCUCUACUAAAAAAAAAAAAAAAGAAAUAGAAAAAUUAGCCAGGCGUGGUGGCGGGCGCCUGUAGUCCCAGAUACUCGGAAGGCUGAGGCAGGAGAAUGGCGUGAACCCAGGAGGCAGAGCUUGCAGUGAGCUGAGAUUGCGCCACUGCACUCCAGCCUGGGACACAGAGCGAGACUCUGUCUCAAAAAAAAAAAAAAAAAAAAAAAAAAAAACCCAAAAAGAAAUUCUUCUAAGUAAGCAUUCUUACUUAAGGACUCCCUUGGUCCAUUUGUCUAUUUUUCAGAUAAGGAACCCAAGGAUCAGAAAAUUGGGGUACAUUUUCUAAGGUAACACAGCAAGUAAGGCAGAAAGCUGGAUUGAGCCCAGGCUGUGAAGUCGGAUGGGGUCAUGUGGGGAGUGGGACCAGCUCUAACCUUCGGGGACUGGGUUUUUACUGUAUGAGUGGCACAGGUUUGGUGGUCAGAUGCGCCUGGCGUCAACCUUCAUGCCACCACCCUAGACACAUUACUUAGUCUUUUGAGCUUCAAGUUCCCUAUCUAAAACAUGAGCAUAGUGACAGCCACCUCACAGGGUCACAGUUAGGAUUGUAUGUCUUAAGCACUGGGUAGAAGUUCCAUAAAUGAUUCUUUGCUGCAUCUGGCUGAAGCAGAGUGAUUGCUACAAGGUGCAGGGUCCCCAAGGGGUGCCCUAGCUCCACCACCUGCAAGACCCAGUUCAAGGCUACCUCCUCCAGGAAGCCUCCCCAGGUUCUCAGAACCCAUGCGGCCUGAUUCCAGAACCCAUACAGCUUCUAUGUCACCAAACACUCCCCCUGGCCAGGCAUAUUAUCCAGGUGCUUUAAGCUCAGGAUUAUCUCUACUGCAUCUGCCCUGCAAUACCUUGGAUUUCUCCUUUAAUCCUCACACCAACCCUAUGAAGUAGGUAUGAGUACCCCCAAUUUAAAGGUGGGAAAACUGAGGCUUGGAGAGAGAAUUGCCUUCUUUUCCUCUCCUGCUGUUGAAACAUGACCUAUGAAGCAAGGUUGGCCUCGAAAGCUGCUUUGUCCUUAAUAUAUCCCCAGGGAUUUUGGGAAUGGUGAGGGCAGGAGAGAUGGCAUCAGAUUUGGAGACAGAAGUUUGAAUCCCAUCUCCACUACUACUAAUUUCAUAGCCCUGGAAAAAGCCAGGAGCUUGCAUUUCCUCAAGGGUACAAGGGUGGAAGUUACAUUAACCUCGAAGGCUGUUGUGAGCCCAAAAUGAGACAAAGUGCUCAGAGCAGUAGGCACAUAGUAGCUGCCCAAUAAAUAUUUGUUUCAUUGCCCUUAAAGCCAUGUCUUGUUCUGUGUUCUCAUAACACAUCUCCGGUUUCUCCCUUGGUCCACUUACCAAGUGUGAACAGGUAUUCUUGUUAUUUAGACACCUGGGGCUGGAAACUUCUUGAAGUCAAGGGCCACUCCCAAACAUCUUUAGAUUUCCCACUUGGCCUAGUACAUUUGAUGCAGUCAUAUCCAACCAAUGUGUUUUUUUAAAAAAGUGCAAAUAGCUUUUCCAUUUUUUUCUCCUAAUAAAAGUAAUCAGUGCUCAUUGUAAAAUAGGGAAAGAAUUUUACCUCCCUCCAUCAUCUUGAUGCGAGGAUUACCUGUGAUAAAGCUGGUAAGGUGCCUGCCAUUGUGUCUGUCACAGAGCCUUCCAAGUAUUGUCAUUUUCAUUAGUUCAAAAAACACAUAGGGCAUUUCAAAAAGUAAAAAAACAUCUGCUGAUCUUCUGGGAUGUCCUCACUGAUGUUUUUCCAUGUAUAUAAAUUUAGACAACUCACAGAUAUAAAACACAC
rnacentral:lncRNA from 1 species